rnacentral:rRNA from 1 species
GCAAAUUACCCACUCCCGGCACGGGGAGGUAGUGACNAAAAAUAACNAUACGGGACUCAUCCGAGGCCCCGUAAUCGGAAUGAGCACACUUUAAAUCCUUUAACNAGUAUCCAUUGGAGGGCAAGUCUGGUGCCAGCAGCCGCGGUAAUUCCAGCUCCAAUAGCGUAUAUUAAAGUUGUUGCGGUUAAAAAGCUCGUAGUCGGACUUGUGUCACACGCUGCCGGUUCACCGCCCGUCGGUGUUUAACUGGCAUGCACGUGCUGACGUCCUGCCGGUGGCCCGAGCCGGNCCGGGAUCUCUGGGUGCGGGAUUCCCUCCGGGGGCUCGCCUCGAGCCCGGUUCUUGGGGAGGGCCUACUCAUACCCCUCGCGGUGCUCUUAACCGAGUGUCUCGAUGGGCCGGCACGUUUACUUUGAACAAAUUAGAGUGCUUAAAGCAGGCAGCAUCCGCCUGAAUACUGAGUGCAUGGAAUAAUGGAAUAGGACCUCGGUUCUAUUUUGUUGGUUUUCGGAAUCCCCGAGGUAAUGAUCAAUAGGGACAGACGGGGGCAUUCGUAUUGCGACGUUAGAGGUGAAAUUCUUGGAUCGUCGCAAGACGGACCGAAGCGAAAGCAUUUGCCAAGAAUGUUUUCUCUGAUCAAGAACGAAAGUUAGAGGUUCGAAGGCGAUCAGAUACCGCCCUAGUUCUAACCAUAAACGAUGCCAGCCAGCAAUCCGCCGAAGUUCCUCCGAUGACUCGGCGGGCGGCUUCCGGGAAACCAAAGCUUUUGGGUUCCGGGGGAAGUAUGGUUGCAAAGCUGAAACUUAAAGGAAUUGACGGAAGGGCACCACCAGGAGUGGAGCCUGCGGCUUAAUUUGACUCAACACGGGAAACCUCACCAGGCCCGGACACCGGGAGGAUUGACAGAUUGAGAGCUCUUUCUUGAUUCGGUGGGUGGUGGUGCAUGGCCGUUCUUAGUUGGU